CCUCAUGAAGUUGGAAUCGCUAGUAAUCGCGGGUCAGCUAUACCGCGGUGAAUACGUUCUCAAGUCUUGUACUCACCGCCCGUCAAGCCAAGGGAGCCGAGAGUGCCCGAAGUCCCACCUUGUGUGGGCCUAAGGUAAGCUUGGUGACAAGGGCUAAGUCGUAACAAGGCACGGCUAGCGGAAGCUGGUCGUGAAUCAAUUCAAAA
rnacentral:ncRNA from 1 species